CUAGUGUGUUCUGCAAUGCGACAGCCAUCCUCGCCCAGGCCAAUGCUAGUAAUUCUCUAUAUUCACAAUAUCCACAGCGCCUGACUUUCCUUCUUCUGUGGCAUCACUACUGUCAGAAUUAUCCAGACUAUCCCUUCAGGCUUCAUUGUUCACCCACCUCCUGUCUCCUCAUUUUAGAGUCCCUGAAUAGCUCUGGCCUUGACUUCUGAUCCAGAAACUUCCAUGUGAACCACUAGGAUUUUCUUGAGAACUUGG
rnacentral:lncRNA from 1 species